ensembl:lncRNA
AGAGUAUGGAGAAAAGAGGGGACAUUAUGAAAGGAGAGAGGUAAAGAGAGUAUGGAGAAGAGAGGGGACAUUAUGAAAGGAGAGAGGUAAAAGAGAGUAUGGAGAAAGGAGGGGACAUUAUGAAAGGAGAGAGGUAAAAGAGAGUAUGGAGAAAAGAGGGGACAUUAUGAAAGGAGAGAGGUAAAACAGAGUAUGGAGAAAAGAGGGGACAUGAAAGGAGAGAGGUAAAGAGAGUAUGGAGAAAAGAGGGGACAUUAUGAAAGGAGAGAGGUAAAAGAGAGUAUGGAGAAAGGAGGGGACAUUAUGAAAGGAGAGAGGUAAAAGAGAGUAUGGAGAAAAGAGGGGACAUUAUGAAAGGAGAGAGGUAAAACAGAGUAUGGAGAAAAGAGGGGACAUUAUGAAAGGAGAGAGGUAAAACAGAGUAUGGAGAAAAGAGGGGACAUUAUGAAAGGAGAGAGGUAAAACAGAGUAUGGAGAAAAGAGGGGACAUUAUGAAAGGAGAGAGGUAAAGAGAGUAUGGAGAAAAGAGGGGACAUUAUGAAAGGAGAGAGGUAAAGAGAG